GAAGGAGAAAUUGAACUGCAUUCAUGUGGCCGUAUGUUAGGGGAUUAACCCUUUGAACGGCGGUAAUAAGACACACAGAAACAUGGUCUCUCUCAAG